rnacentral:lncRNA from 1 species
CUAGUGUAUUUACGAGCCGAGUGAACAAAUUCUGACCAUUGAUCUACACACGUGUAUGCCAGGAUCUCAUCAUCAAAUCUUCACUCAGUUCGCAAGCUACACUAGUGUUCACUCUUGAACCUAAUCCUUAAACAGUAAUGCCUUUAGAAGCUGGCUGGAGAUCAAAGGUAUCAAUGUGUUUAGUAGCAAUGUGAAAUUGUGCAACAUAAUUGGAUGUUGCUUUCCAUGACAUGUU